CUUACACAUGCAAGUCGAACGGCAGCACGGGAGCUUGCUCCUGGUGGCGAGUGGCGAACGGGUGAGUAAUAUAUCGGAACGUGCCCUAGAGUGGGGGAUAACUAGUCGAAAGAUUAGCUAAUACCGCAUACGAUCUACGGAUGAAAGUGGGGGAUCGCAAGACCUCAUGCUCAUAGAGCGGCCGAUAUCUGAUUAGCUAGUUGGUGGGGUAAAAGCUCACCAAGGCGACGAUCAGUAGCUGGUCUGAGAGGACGACCAGCCACACUGGAACUGAGACACGGUCCAGACUCCUACGGGAGGCAGCAGUGGGGAAUUUUGGACAAUGGGCGCAAGCCUGAUCCAGCAAUGCCGCGUGAGUGAAGAAGGCCUUCGGGUUGUAAAGCUCUUUUGUCAGGGAAGAAACGGUCUUGGUUAAUACCUGGGGCUAAUGACGGUACCUGAAGAAUAAGCACCGGCUAACUACGUGCCAGCAGCCGCGGUAAUACGUAGGGUGCAAGCGUUAAUCGGAAUUACUGGGCGUAAAGCAUGCGCAGGCGGUUGUGCAAGACAGAUGUGAAAUCCCCGGGCUCAACCUGGGAAUUGCAUUUGUGACUGCACGGCUAGAGUGUGUCAGAGGGGGGUAGAAUUCCACGUGUAGCAGUGAAAUGCGUAGAUAUGUGGAGGAAUACCGAUGGCGAAGGCAGCCCCCUGGGAUAACACUGACGCUCAUGCACGAAAGCGUGGGGAGCAAACAGGAUUAGAUACCCUGGUAGUCCACGCCCUAAACGAUGUCUACUAGUUGUCGGGUCUUAAUUGACUUGGUAACGCAGCUAACGCGUGAAGUAGACCGCCUGGGGAGUACGGUCGCAAGAUUAAAACUCAAAGGAAUUGACGGGGACCCGCACAAGCGGUGGAUGAUGUGGAUUAAUUCGAUGCAACGCGAAAA
rnacentral:rRNA from 1 species